rnacentral:rRNA from 1 species
UACGGGGGGGGCAAGCGUUGUUCGGAAUUACUGGGCGUAAAGGGCUUGUAGGUGGCCAACUAAGUCAGACGUGAAAUCCCUCGGCUUAACCGGGGAACUGCGUCUGAUACUGGAUGGCUUGAGUGUGGGAGAGGGAUGCGGAAUUCCAGGUGUAGCGGUGAAAUGCGUAGAUAUCAGGAAGAACACCCGUGGCGAAAGCGGCUCUCUGGAACGGUACUGACGCUGAGACGCGAAAGCGUGGGGAGCGAACAGG